rnacentral:lncRNA from 1 species
AUGACCCAUGCUGGGGAUAACAAGCCAUGAGCAUGCUAUCCUUACUUAAUCCAUUGUGAACGAGCAAUUUGCGCUCAGUUUGGGAUUAUUCUCUUUCUCUUUUUUUUUUUGCUUUUCUUGGACCCCAAAACUUCUCUUGAUUUUUUAUUAUUAUUUCCACCUCCGCCCGACAGAAACUCCUCCUCCAAUAUCACACUACUGGGGAAUAUUAUUGAUCUGACAUCAUGAUGAUAAACUCCUCAGAGUAACAUCUUCACCAUCUGGCGAAACCAAUCCUCAAACAGU